rnacentral:rRNA from 1 species
AUUGAACGCUGGCGGCAGGCCUAACACAUGCAAGUCGAACGAGUGGCGGACGGGUGAGUAAUGUCUGGGAAACUGCCUGAUGGAGGGGGAUAACUACUGGAAACGGUAGCUAAUACCGCAUACCCUCGGAUGUGCCCAAAUGGGAUUUGCUAGUAGGUGGGGUAAAGGCUCACCUAGGCGACGAUCCCUAGCUGGUCUGAGAGGAUGACCAGCCACACUGGAACUGAGACACGGUCCAGACUCCUACGGCAGGCAGCAGUGGGGAAUAGUGCACAAUGGGCGCAAGCCUGAUGCAGCCAUGCCGCGUGUAUGAAGAAGGCCUUCGGGUUGUAAAGUACUUUCAGCGGGGAGGCGUUACCCGCAGAAGAAGCACCGGCUAACUCCGUGCCAGCAGCCGCGGUAAUUC